rnacentral:rRNA from 1 species
UACGAAGGGGGCUAGCGUUGCUCGGAAUCACUGGGCGUAAAGCGCACGUAGGCGGAUUGUUAAGUCAGGGGUGAAAUCCUGGAGCUCAACUCCAGAACUGCCUAUGAUACUGGCGAUCUCGAGUCCGGGAGAGGUGAGUGGAACUGCGAGUGUAGAGGUGAAAUUCGUAGAUAUUCGCAAGAACACCAGUGGCGAAGGCGGCUCACUGGCCCGGUACUGACGCUGAGGUGCGAAAGCGUGGGGAGCAAACAGG